GAUGACGUCCCAUUUUUCCUCUUUAGCUAACAUGUAAUUUGAUCAAUUAUUUUGGUUUUGCAAAAAAAUAAAUUAAUCAAUCACCAAAUAAAUAAUGACACGUGGUGCACCAACUAAAGUAUGAAAGGAAAAUAAACAUCAACAUAUUUAAAAAGAAUAAUAAAAAAAGGAAAUAAAAGCAAAUCAAUAACUUAGUAUAUCCUCUCUCACCCUAUUCAUUCGGUCCACCUUCCCCUUCUUUACACAUGUCAUUUAUGGUUUUUUAAUAUUGAAAUAAAAUGACCAUUAAUGUAGUGCCUUUCAAAAAACCGAAAAAAUAAGUAAAUACACAAAAUGCAUAUUCUCUUUUUAUCCAAUUC
rnacentral:lncRNA from 1 species